ensembl:scaRNA SCARNA13 small Cajal body-specific RNA 13
UCUUUGCAGUUUUGUGAAGCUGCUCCUGGCAAGGACAAUUGCUCGCGGGCACAACAAAGCUGCAGAAAGCAACUCAAAGAAUGAAAAGGCGUGACUCCUGGAGGCUCAGGGGUUUCACGUGCGAUGUUCCUUGGACAGACUCCUGCUUUCCACGGUGGUGAUGGCCUCGCUCUGUAGCCAUCACCAUUCUUGAGGCAGGCAGAGUGAAACCAGACAGCCAGAUAUUAUUUGAAACAGGUGGAGCUCUUCCUGUCAGAUACUCCCAGCUGUCACAAUA